CCGGUUGUUCCGGAAGUCGGGUCCUUGAGUGCGGCGAGAUCCGUUUCCGAUUCCGGGGUGGCCGGGUGGCGGCGGCUGGGCUGUAGUCGCCAUGGGCCACAGGUGACGCCGCAGCCGCCGGGAGCAGCGAGGGACGCGGCAAGAUGAACCGGGCCAAGCCCACCGCGGUGCGCAGGCCCAGCGCCGCGGCGAAACCCUCAGGGCACCCUCCCCCGGGAGACUUCAUUGCUCUGGGCUCAAAGGGUCAGGCCAACGAAUCGAAAACAGCAUCCACCCUGCUGAAGCCAGCCCCUUCCGGCCUGCCUUCUGAGCGCAAGCGGGAUGCGGCGGCUGCAUUGUCCAGUGCCUCGGCCCUCACCGGUCUCACCAAACGCCCCAAACUCUCCUCCACACCCCCACUGAGUGCCCUGGGGCGCCUGGCUGAGGCUGCAGUGGCAGAAAAACGAGCCAUUUCUCCGUCGAUUAAAGAGCCAUCUGUGGUGCCAAUUGAAGUGCUGCCCACGGUGCUGCUGGACGAGAUCGAGGCGGCCGAGCUGGAAGGCAACGACGACAGGAUCGAGGGCGUGCUGUGCGGGGCCGUGAAACAGCUGAAGGUCACCCGCGCCAAGCCCGACAGCACCCUCUACCUGAGCCUCAUGUACCUGGCCAAGAUCAAGCCCAACAUCUUUGCCACCGAGGGCGUCAUCGAGGCUCUGUGCAGCCUCCUGCGGCGGGACGCCUCCAUCAACUUCAAGGCCAAGGGGAACAGCCUGGUGUCCGUGCUGGCCUGUAACCUCCUCAUGGCCGCCUACGAGGAGGACGAGAACUGGCCCGAGAUCUUUGUCAAGGUGUACAUUGAGGACUCCCUGGGGGAGCGGAUCUGGGUGGACAGCCCUCACUGUAAGACAUUUGUGGACAACAUCCAGACGGCCUUCAACACCAGAAUGCCCCCCAGGAGUGUGCUGCUGCAGGGGGAGGCGGGCCGCGGCGCUGGCGACCUGGGCGCGGGGAGCAGCCCACACCCCUCCCUCACGGAGGAGGAGGACAGCCAGACAGAGCUGCUGAUCGCAGAGGAGAAACUGAGCCCCGAGCAGGAGGGCCAGCUCAUGCCCAGGUACGAAGAGCUCGCGGAGAGUGUGGAGGAGUACGUCCUGGACAUGCUGCGGGACCAGCUGAACCGGCGCCAGCCCAUUGACAACGUCUCCAGGAACCUCCUGCGGCUCCUCACCUCCACCUGCGGCUACAAGGAGGUGCGGCUGCUGGCGGUGCAGAAGCUGGAGAUGUGGCUGCAGAACCCCAAGCUGACCCGGCCGGCCCAGGACCUGCUGAUGUCCGUCUGUAUGAACUGCAACACGCAUGGUUCUGAAGACAUGGAUGUCAUCUCACAUUUGAUCAAGAUCCGCCUCAAGCCCAAAGUCCUCCUCAACCACUUCAUGCUGUGCAUCAGGGAGCUGCUGAGUGCGCACAAGGACAACCUGGGCAGCACCAUCAAGCUGGUGAUCUUCAAUGAGCUCUCCAGCGCCCGGAACCCCAACAACAUGCAGGUUCUCUACACCGCGCUGCAGCACAGCUCUGACCUGGCGCCCAAGUUCCUGGCCAUGGUGUUCCAGGACCUGCUGACCAACAAGGACGACUACCUGCGGGCCUCGCGGGCCCUGCUGCGGGAGAUCAUCAAGCAGACCAAGCACGAGAUCAACUUCCAGGCCUUCUGCCUGGGGCUCAUGCAGGAGCGCAAGGAGCCACAAUACCUGGAGAUGGAGUUCAAGGAACGCUUCGUGGUGCACAUCACCGACGUGCUGGCCGUGUCCAUGAUGCUGGGCAUCACGGCGCAGGUGAAGGAGGCUGGCAUCGCCUGGGACAAAGGAGAAAAGAGGAAUCUGGAAGUACUCCGCUCGUUCCAGAACCAGAUCGCCGCCAUCCAGCGGGAUGCUGUCUGGUGGCUUCACACUGUGGUCCCCUCCAUCAGCAAGCUCGCCCCCAAGGACUACGUGCACUGCCUGCACAAGGUGCUGUUCACAGAGCAGCCGGAGACCUACUACAAGUGGGACAACUGGCCACCAGAGAGUGACCGCAACUUCUUCCUGCGCCUGUGCUCCGAGGUGCCCAUCCUGGAGGACACGCUGAUGCGCAUCCUGGUCAUCGGGCUGUCCCGGGAGCUCCCGCUCGGGCCCGCAGACGCCAUGGAGCUCGCCGACCACCUGGUGAAGCGGGCAGCGGCCGUGCAGGCGGAUGAUGUGGAGGUGCUGAAGGUGGGGAGGACCCAGCUGAUCGAUGCCGUUCUGAACCUGUGCACCUACCAUCACCCCGAAAACAUCCAGCUCCCGCCCGGGUACCAGCCUCCGAACCUCGCUAUCUCCACCCUCUACUGGAAGGCCUGGCCCCUCCUGCUGGUCGUCGCGGCAUUCAACCCAGAGAACAUCGGCCUGGCUGCGUGGGAGGAGUACCCGACCCUGAAGAUGCUCAUGGAGAUGGUGAUGACCAACAACUACUCCUACCCGCCGUGCACCCUGACGGAUGAGGAGACCCGGACGGAGAUGAUGAACCGUGAGCUGCAGACUGCCCAGCGGGAGAAGCAGGAGAUCCUGGCCUUCGAGGGGCACCUGGCAGCCGCGUCUACCAAGCAGACCAUCACUGAGAGCAGCAGCCUCCUCCUGUCGCAGCUCACCAGCCUGGACCCCCAAGGGCCCCCUCGGAGGCCUCCCCCUCACAUCCUGGAUCAAGUGAAAAGCCUCAACCAGUCCCUCCGCCUCGGGCACCUCCUGUGCCGCAGCCGAAACCCCGACUUCCUCCUCCACAUCAUCCAGCGGCAGGCCUCCUCGCAGUCCAUGCCCUGGCUGGCGGACCUGGUACAGUCCAGCGAGGGCUCCCUGGAUGUGCUGCCCGUGCAGUGUCUGUGUGAGUUCCUGCUGCACGAUGCUGUGGACGAUGCUGCCUCCGGAGAGGAGGACGAUGAGGGCGAGAGCAAGGAGCAGAAGGCCAAGAAGCGGCAGAGGCAGCAGAAGCAGCGGCAGCUGCUGGGCCGCCUGCAGGACCUGCUGUUGGGCCCGAAGGCUGAUGAGCAGACAACGUGUGAGGUGUUGGACUACUUCCUGCGGCGCCUCGGCUCCUCCCAGGUGGCCUCCCGUGUGCUGGCCAUGAAGGGUUUGUCGCUCGUGCUUUCGGAGGGCAGCCUGCGGGACGGGGAGGAGAAGGAGCCCCCCAUGGAGGAGGAUGUGGGGGACACAGAUGUGCUGCAGGGCUACCAGUGGCUGCUGCGGGACCUGCCCCGCCUGCCUCUCUUCGACAGCGUCAGGAGCACCACAGCCCUGGCCCUGCAGCAGGCAAUCCAUAUGGAGACCGACCCCCAGACCAUCAGCGCCUACCUGAUCUACCUGUCCCAGCACACGCCUGUGGAGGAGCAGGCCCAGCACAGCGACCUGGCCCUGGACGUGGCCCGGCUGGUCGUGGAGCGCUCCACCAUCAUGUCCCACCUCUUCUCCAAGCUCUCCCCGAGUGCCGCGUCGGACGCCGUGCUGAGCGCUCUGCUGUCCAUCUUCUCACGCUACGUGAGGCGCAUGCGGCAGAGCAAGGAGGGCGAGGAGGUCUACAGCUGGUCGGAGUCUCAGGACCAGGUCUUCCUGCGCUGGAGCAGUGGGGAGACGGCCACCAUGCACAUCCUCGUGGUCCACGCCAUGGUCAUCCUGCUGACGCUGGGCCCGCCGCGAGCCGACGACAGCGAGUUCCAGGCACUGCUGGACAUCUGGUUUCCAGAGGAGAAGCCGCUGCCCACCGCCUUCCUGGUGGACACAUCGGAGGAGGCGCUGCUGCUUCCGGACUGGCUGAAGCUGCGCAUGAUCCGUUCUGAGGUGCUCCGUCUGGUGGAUGCUGCCCUGCAGGACCUGGAGCCGCAGCAGCUGCUGCUGUUCGUGCAGUCCUUUGGCAUCCCUGUGUCCAGCAUGAGCAAACUCCUCCAGUUCCUGGACCAGGCCGUGGCCCACGACCCCCAGACACUGGAGCAGAACAUCAUGGACAAAAGCGUGACCCUGCUGCUGUUUGCAGAUUACAUGGCCCACCUGGUGGAGGUCCAGCAUGAGCGAGGCGCCUCCGGAGGCCAGACUUUCCACUCCCUGCUCACGGCCUCCCUGCCGCCCCGCCGAGACAGCACAGAGGCACCCAAACCAAAGAGCAGCCCGGAGCAGCCCACAGGCCAGGGCCGGAUUCGGGCGGGGACCCAGCUCCGGGUGCUGGGCCCUGAGGACGACCUGGCUGGCAUGUUCCUCCAGAUCUUCCCGCUCAGCCCGGACCCUCGGUGGCAGAGCUCCAGUCCCCGCCCCGUGGCCCUCGCGCUGCAGCAGGCCCUGGGCCAGGAGCUGGCCCGUGUCAUCCAGGGCAACCCUGAGGUGCCGGGCAUCACGGUGCGUGUCCUGCAGGCCCUCGCCACCCUGCUCAGCUCCCCACACGGCGGCGCCCUGGUGAUGUCCAUGCACCGCAGCCACUUCCUGGCCUGCCCGCUGAUGCGCCAGCUCUGCCAGUACCAGCGCUGUGUGCCGCAGGACACCGGCUUCUCCUCACUUUUCCUGAAAGUGCUUCUGCAGAUGCUGCAGUGGUUGGACAGCCCUGGUGUGGAGGGCGGGCCCCUGCGGGCACAGCUCAGGAUGCUCGCUGGCCAGGCGUCGGCCGGGCGCAGGCUCAGCGAUGUGCGAGGGGGGCUCCUGCGCCUGGCCGAUGCCCUGGCCUUCCGUCAGGACCUGGAGGUGGUUAGCUCCACUGUGCGUGCCGUCGUCGCCACCCUGAGGUCUGGGGAGCAGUGCAGCGUGGAGCCCGAGCUGAUCAGCAAAGUCCUCCAGGGGCUGAUGGAGGUGAGGUCCCCCCACCUGGAGGAGCUGCUGACUGCGCUCUUCUCUGCCACUGCGGACGCCGCCUCCCCGUUUCCGGGCUGUAAGCCCGUGGUGGUGGUGAGCUCCCUGCUGCUGCAGGAGGAGGAGCCCCUGGCUGCGGGGAAGCCGGAUGCGGAUGGCGGCGGCCUGGAGGCCGUGCGGCUGGGGCCCUCGUCAGGCCUCCUGGUGGACUGGCUGGAGAUGCUGGACCCCGAGGUGGUCAGCAGCUGCCCCGACCUGCAGCACAGGCUGCUCUUCUCCCUGAGGAAGGGCAAAGGUCAGGCCCAGGUGCCCUCGUUCCGCCCCUACCUCCUGACCCUCUUCACGCAUCAGUCCAGCUGGCCCACGCUGCACCAGUGCAUCCGAGUCCUGCUGGGCAAGAGCCGGGAGCAGAGGUUCGACCCCUCCGCCUCUCUGGACUUCCUCUGGGCCUGCAUCCACGUUCCUCGCAUCUGGCAGGGGCGGGACCAGCGCACCCCGCAGAAGCGGCGGGAGGAGCUAGUGCUGCGGGUGCAGGGCCCGGAGCUCAUCAGCCUGGUGGAGCUAAUUCUGGCCGAGGCGGAGACUCGGAGCCAGGACGGGGAUGCGGCUGCCUGCAGCCUCAUCCAGGCCCGGCUGCCCCUGCUGCUCAGCUGCUGCCGUGGGGACGAUGAGGGUGUCAGGAAGGUGACGGAGCACCUAUCAGGCUGCAUCCAGCAGUGGGGAGACAGUGUGCUGGGCAGGCGCUGCCGAGACCUCCUCCUGCAGCUCUACCUACAGCGGCCGGAGCUGCGGGUGCCCGUGCCUGAGGUCCUGCUGCACAGUGAAGGAGCUGCCAGCAGCAGCAUCUGCAAGCUGGAUGGACUCAUCCACCGCUUCAUCACGCUCCUGGCGGACACCAGCGACUCCCGGGCAUCGGAGAACCGAGGGGCGGAUGCCAGCAUGGCCUGCCGGAAGCUGGCAGUGGCGCACCCACUACUGCUGCUCAGGCACCUGCCCAUGAUCGCCGCGCUCCUGCACGGCCGUACCCACCUCAACUUCCAGGAGUUCCGGCAGCAGAACCACCUGAGCUGCUUCCUGCACGUGCUGGGCCUGCUGGAGCUGCUGCAGCCGCACGUGUUCCGCAGCGAGCACCAGGGGGCGCUGUGGGACUGCCUGCUGUCCUUCAUCCGCCUGCUGCUGAAUUAUAGGAAGUCCUCCCGCCACCUAGCUGCCUUCAUCAACAAGUUUGUGCAGUUCAUCCAUAAGUACAUCACCUACAACGCCGCGGCAGCUGUUUCCUUCCUUCAGAAGCACGCUGACCCGCUCCACGACCUGUCCUUCGACAACAGUGACCUGGUGAUGCUGAAAUCCCUCCUUGCAGGGCUCAGUCUGCCCAGCAGGGACGACAGGACCGACCGAGGCCUGGACGAAGAGGGCGAGGAGGAGAGCUCAGCCGGCUCCUUGCCCCUGGUCAGCGUCUCCCUGUUCACCCCUCUGACCGCUGCCGAGAUGGCCCCCUACAUGAAGCGGCUUUCCCGGGGCCAAACGGUGGAGGAUCUGCUGGAGGUUCUGAGUGACAUAGACGAGAUGUCCCGGCGGAGACCCGAGAUCCUGGGCUUCUUCUCGACCAACCUGCAGCGGCUGAUGAGCUCGGCCGAGGAGUCUUGCCGCAACCUGGCCUUCAGCCUGGCCCUGCGCUCCAUCCAGAACAGCCCCAGCAUCGCAGCUGACUUCCUGCCCACAUUCAUGUACUGCCUGGGCAGCCAGGACUUUGAGGUGGUGCAAACGGCCCUCAGGAACCUGCCCGAGUACACUCUUCUGUGCCAAGAGCAUGCGGCUGUGCUGCUGCACCGGGCCUUCCUGGUGGGCAUGUACGGCCAGAUGGACCCCAGCGCCCAGAUCUCUGAGGCCCUGAGGAUCCUGCAUAUGGAGGCCGUGAUGUGAGCCUGUGGCAGCCGACCCCCUUCCAAGCCCCAGCUCGUCCCAUCCCUGGGGAUCCUCAAGGCGAAGCCCAGGGAGCACCGCCAUUGCUGGUCUCCGAGGAGGUGCAGCACCUGAGCCACGUCACCGCGUCCCCUCCAGCCAGGCCCACCCUUUCCUGACGCUACACCCUCUAUGGGCUCCUGAGGCACCUCCUCAAGGCUGGCUUCCCGCACCCCACAGUCCGGAGCCUCCUGCAUCCCGCCAGCCUUUGGUCCUCUGCUCUCCUGACGUCCCUCCAGCCAAGGCCUGCCUGCCUCAGGGUCUGAUCAGAGAAGGAGAGUGAGGUCCGAGCUCUGUGGGCUCAGAACCCAGUGCCUGGGUUGAGGGCAGGGAAAGGGAAGGAUGCUGCUGCCAGGCCUGGAGGCCAGUGUGUGUGUCCCAGCUGGGUGCAAGCCUGGGCCCUUCACGGGGGUGCCUGUGUCUGGCUCAGAGCAGCCUGUGACCCGUAGAGCCCCAGGACAUUGGCUGGGGUCGUGGACCAGGCACGGGGAAGGGGGAUGGGGAGGGCACCGAGGGUGGGGCCCUGAUCCUGAGGCCUGGGACCCUCUCUGGGCCUCUUGCUGCCUGGGCCUGUGUUCACUCCCACCCAGGAGGCAGCGGAGGUUAAGCUAAGCAGAGGCAUCCAGGGGAAGUAGCUGGCCUGGCAGGUGGCAAGGGCUCAGGCUAGGGAUAUCGGCUCUGGUGUGUGUGCCGACUGGGGCUAGGAUGUGCCAGGCGUGCCCGAGACCCCACCUACCCCAGGGUGCUGACCCCAGGGCUCAGGGACUUGGUGGCUCAAAAUUGUGGCACCCGUGGGGCAAACUUAGCCCCCACCUGGCCAAGUGCUUCCAUAAUCUCUAGAGGGUGGCCUGGGCCUGUCCCCACCAUAGAGGGAACCCCAGGGGGCGUGUCUGGCCUUGGCUGCAGGGGUGGACCGCAGGUUCUGUGUCCCAGAGGUGAGAGGCUUCUCCGAUCUGUGCUGGGGAAGAUAGGGAAGAUGGCUGGGAGGGAAACCUGACCGCUCCUGGACAAAGAAAUGAGUAGACUGGAAUCUCUGCCUGCAGCAGGCGCCUGGCAGGGGCUGUGUGAGCAGAAGUGUGGGUGUUGGAAUGAUGGUGCCCACCCCAGGGUGGACAGGGGGCUGCGGGAUGGACCAGGGAGCCCUGGGUCAGGCCAUGAUCCACACCUGGCCUCUGCCUCCCUCUGGUUCCCCAAGUUCCUCACCCCGGCCACUGGGCCCAGGGACCUCGGGAACCAGCCAUGCGGGGCACCCAGUAGGACCCCUGCGCUGCUGGGUGGCUGCGGGCAGGUCCCAGGCCGUCUGUUCUGGAACAGCGGAGGAUCUGGGAUCAGCACCUUCCCACGUGGCUGUGACUGAGCCCCUCGUCCAGGGUCACCCCUGGAGCCCAGAUGGCCCCAGGACUCAGAGAGUCCAGCCCAGACCCCACAGUUCCCUUCCUUCCAGGAGCAUGUCCGAGCCAGGCCAGGCAGGGUGCCAGCCCCUCCUGGUGGUUCCUGGCAGUCCGGGGCUCGCUCCUCCAGGUGGGGAUGGGGCGGGGCCAGGGGAUGCCAUAGUGACAAGCUCACCUGCUUCUUCAGUCUCAAAACAAGUGCUUCCGGGUUUCAGUUUCAGCUCUGGCUGAGGGGGGACCCUGACCUUCAAACAGGCCAAACAGGCCAGACGGUGGUGGCCACAGGGCUGAGUGUGGGCACCGGGGAGAUGAGCGCCCUUGGCAGCAAGAGUGCAGGUCUCCCCAUGAGGUGUCUCCCCCAUUCACCCUGGGAGGCCCAGACAGUGGCCUGAAGUCACGUGGCAGGUAGGGUGCCAGGCAGGAGUUGCUUGGGGGGCCUGGGCCUCCCCCAGCUCCCUUCCUCAGAGCAACCCAGACCCCUGACCCAAUUAGGCCCAGGCCUAGCCAGUGGUUGGGGUCAUUCCAGGUGCUUCAGAAGAGGAGGGUGUGGCUGAGGCCUCCUCCGGGGACAGUGGCCCCUUCUGUCCUGGGAGGUGGCCUGUAGGAAGCUGAGGAGCAUGGGCAGGCAGAACUAGACAUCCCAGUUCUUUCCAAACCCCCUCACUGGGCCAGGCCCAAAAGGACACCCCAUGCCAGGCCCUGCUGGGCUCACCGGGGACCCAGGGUUGGACCCCAGUAGGCCUGUGCCAGGGUGUGGUGGGCACCCUCUCUCUGCCUGAGGGUUAGGAAGGGCUCUUGGGGGAAGGCGGCAUGGCGGGUGGGUCUGGAGCAGUGGGGAGGAGUUGGGCCCAUCCACUUGCAAUGGGGCACAGGGCUCUGGCUGACCACCAGCAGGGCAAGUGGAGGGGAGGGGCCGGGACCCACAGCUCUCUUUUCUCACUGGUGCCCUCCUGCUAUGGAGUCAGGCCUGGAGAGGCCUGUAAGCCUCAGGGGGCACAGGGGGCAGGCCUGGAACACAGGGCUCCUCGGGCGCUCAUCCCUCAUCCUGUAGUAGAGAGACUGGGGCCCUGGGAGGGGAGGGAGCCGGGAGGCGGCCACACGCCGUCCCUAAGAUGGAAAACGCAGAGACCUGGUGAGGGCGGCACUGACCACAGUACUCUGCACACCAGGCCACUGGUGGCGCCCUGGCUGUGGGGGACACAGGGUCCUUGGGGACACAGGGCCCGGGGGCCUCCAGAGCUGGGGUACGGUGGAGGGGCUGCUGCAUCCCAAACACCCUUUAGGCCUCUUUCAUCCCCAGUCAGCAUUCCAGCCAGGACCCUGGAGGCCCUGUCCACAGAGUCCAGUCAGGUGGGCCAUAGCCUGUGGCUGCAGGCCUGGGCAGGUGGGUGACACAAGGCAGGACCGACCCCAGGGUUCUGACGCCAGCUCCCUACCCGGACUGUGGCCUUGGACAAAUUGCUGCCCCUCUCUGAGCUUGAUUCCUUACCUGUGAAAUGGGCAUCAAGGUCAUGCCUGAGACCGGGUGUGGCGGCUCAUGCCUAUAAUCGUAGCACUUGGGGAGGCCUAAUCCCAGCACCUGGGGAGGCCGAGGUGGGCAGAUCAGCUGAAGUCAGGAGUUCAAGACCAGCCUGGCCAACAUGGCAAAACCCCGUCUCUACUAAAAAUGCAAAAAUUAGCCGGGCAUGGUGGUGUGUGCCUGUAAUCCCAGCUACUCGGAUGCUGACGUGGGAGAAUCGCUUGAACCCGGGAAGCGGAGGCUGCAGUGAGUUGAGAUCACCAAGAUAGCGCCGCUGUACUCCAGCCUGGGUGAAAGAAAAAGACUUCGUCUCAGAAAACAAAAACAAGGCUGGGCAUGGUGGCUCAUGCCUGUAAUCCCAGCACUUUGGGAGACUGAGGCAGGUGGAUCACUUGAGGUCAGGAGUUUGAGACCAGCAUGGCCAACAUAGUGAAACCCCAUCUCUACUAAAAAUACAAAAAUGAGCUGGGCGUGAUGGUGUGUCUGUAAUACCAGCGCUGUACUUGGGAGGCUGAGGCAGGAGAAUCCCUUGAAACCUGGGAGGCAGAGGUCGCGAUGAGCCAAGAUCAUGCCACUGCACUCCAGCCUGGGCAACAGAGAGACUCCGUCUCAAACAAAUAAAAACAAAAAACUGCCUGAGACUCGGGGGCAGUGAACAACCUGUGUGACACACAGCAGGUGCCGAGGACCAGGCAUCUGUGCUGUUAUCUCUCUUCUCUGAACAGAGAGGUGCCAUGAUCCAGCCAAGGACACACAGCACUUAGAGGCAGGCUGGCUUCUCUGCCCCGGUCCUGCCACCCAGCGACACCCGUCAGCCCCCGUGCGAGCCUUGUGCUCCUCGAAGGUGGUGGGGCGGGGCUGGGCCCUGUUACAAGGGAUUCCUAUAAAUGGCGUGGAAAGGAUUAAUAAUGUAUUUAUAACACAUCGUGGUGGUAGUCGAGAAUGAUCUAUAAAUGUGCAGUAAAUGUUUUAUAAUGUUUUUGUAACCUGUUAUAAAUGAUAAAUGGCAGACCAUAGAUGCCGGAUCAAAUAUUUAUAACGCAUUGUGCACGGUGUCGGGCUGCUACAGUUCAGGAAAGCCAUUAAUAAUAAAGUGGAUGGAAAUGCA